ensembl:lncRNA MAL2-AS1 MAL2 antisense RNA 1
AUAGUCCAUGCUCAAGAUCGAAUGGCAUCUCUCAGACUGGAAGACCUUUCUGAAGUCAGUUCCAGACAUCCCUGGAAGGCUGGAUAAUUUGGGAAAAGGCUGACUCAAUGUAAGCCCAACUUAUACAUGGCACUCCAAGGGGAUGCUUCAGCCAGAAAGUAAAGGGCUGAAAAAGUAGAACAAUACAAAAGCCCUCGUGUGGUGGGAACUGUGGCCUCACUCUUACUUGUCCUUCCAUUCAAAACAGUUUGGCACCUUUCCAUGACGAGGAUCUCUACAGGACUCUGCCUGAGAAAUUUUAUACAUUCCUCCAAAGAAAAAAAAUACAGAAAAGCUGUUUCAAAACCAAAAUCUCCUUAUUUUCCCAGAAUAGAAUGAGGAGAAAACAACUAUUUUUGAGCCAUUAAUGUCUGACAGUUCCAGAAUGCAACAAUUAAAAAUUGUUACCAACUUGUGACAAUUCCAUUAUAUACAUGGCUAAAAAGUUUUCCUGGGAGAGUGUACAAAAUAUGUUACCAAACCUAUCAAAAGCAAGCCAUGCAAUAAAAAAUGACUGAAUAAUAAUAAUAAAAAAA